rnacentral:rRNA from 1 species
AGCGAACGUUUGCGGCGGGCUUAACACAUGCAAGUCGAACGGGCUGUUCCUUCGGGGGCAGUCAGUGGCGCACGGGUGCGUAACACGUAGGUAAUCAACCCUCUGGUUGGGGAUAACACUUCGAAAGGAGUGCUAAUACCCGGUAUGGCGCAGCGGUCUUCGGAUCGCGGCGAGAAAGACCCGCAAGGGUUGCCAGAGGACGAGCCUGCGGCCCAUCAGCUAGUUGGCGAGGUAACGGCUCACCAAGGCGAAGACGGGUAGCUGGUCUGAGAGGAUGAUCAGCCACACUGGAACUGAGACACGGUCCAGACUCCUACGGGAGGCAGCAGUGGGGAAUAUUGCGCAAUGGGCGAAAGCCUGACGCAGCCACGCCGCGUGAGCGAUGAAGGCCUGGUC